GGGAUUGCCCUAGUAACGGCGAGUGAAGCGGCAACAGCUCAAAUUUGAAAUCUGGCUCUUUCAGAGUCCGAGUUGUAAUUUGCAGAGGGUGCUUUGGUGGUAGUUGCGGUCUAAGUUCUUUGGAACAGGACGUCACAGAGGGUGAGAAUCCCGUAUGUGGUCGCUACUUAUCACCGUGUAAAGCCCCUUCGACGAGUCGAGUUGUUUGGGAAUGCAGCUCUAAAUGGGAGGUAAAUUUCUUCUAAAGCUAAAUACUGGCCAGAGACCGAUAGCGCACAAGUAGAGUGAUCGAAAGAUGAAAAGCACUUUGGAAAGAGAGUCAAAUAGCACGUGAAAUUGUUGAAAGGGAAGCGCUUGCAGCCAGACUUGCCUGUAGUUGCUUACCUAGACUUUUGUCUGGGGUACUCUUCUGCAGGCAGGCCAGCAUCAGUUUGGGCGGUUGGAUAAAGGUCUCUGUCACGUACCUCCUUUCGGGGAGGCCUUAUAGGGGAGACGUCAUACAACCAGCCUGGACUGAGGUCCGCGCAUCUGCUAGGAUGCUGGCGUAAUGGCUGUAAGCGGCCCGUCUUGAAACACGGACCAAGGAGUCUAACAUCUAUGCGAGUGUUUGGGUGUCAAGCCCAUACGCGUAAUGAAAGUGAACGGAGGUGGGAACCUUAGGGUGCACCAUCGACCGAUCCUGAUGUCUUCGGAUGGAUUUGAGUAAGAGCAUGGCUGUUGGGACCCGAAAGAUGGUGAACUAUGCUUGAAUAGGGUGAAGCCAGAGGAAACUCUGGUGGAGGCUCGCAGCGGUUCUGACGUGCAAAUCGAUCGUCAAAUUUGGGCAUAGGGGCGAAAGACUAAUCGAACUAUCUAGUAGCU
rnacentral:rRNA from 1 species